AGCGAAGAUCCACUCUUGUAUUCCUUAAACCAACUCUUGCUAUUCUUCAUUUUAAUACCUUAGUUCGAAUAGAACUGUCUCUCUUUUUUUAGUCAGCCCUCUGCCAUCACAAAUAUUUCAGAAUUAAUUUUUACUGAAAAAUAUAUAGCAAUUUUAUAAGUAUUCAUUGACAAAAUGAUAGGCUCACAAUUGGCCACACUACAGUGUCGACCCACAAGCAGACAAUAAACACCCGAGUAUCCUGGGGAUGGUGCUACAGGAGUCUUUGUAAUAAGAAAAAAAGCUCUUAUCAAUAGAGGAGAUGAAUGCUGGCAUCGAACUCAAUAGAAAUUGGCUUGCCUCUGCAUCCCAAAUGUUAGGAUUUAAAAUGUGCACCACCAUACCCAGCUCUUUCUUUAUUAGAGAGCUGUUUGAGAUUAGAAAUAGUUCAGAUUAGAAAGGGACAAAAAUACCAGUAAGUAUAAAAUGAUAUACAUGCUCUUCUAUAACCUCCUGAAAUAAUCAGUUCUCUGUCUCAACUUCAUAGAAACUAAACUUAGAUACUCAUCAAAGAAAAAUAUACCAUCUUUUACCUUGAGCCUUGAAUAGGACUCACAUUUACAAAUACCAUCUAAUGAACAGGAACACGGGUAAAAGGCUG
rnacentral:lncRNA from 1 species